rnacentral:lncRNA from 1 species
AUAAGCUUUUUGAUGUGCUGCUGGAUUCAAUUUGCCAGUAUUUUAUUGAGGAUUUUUUGCAUCGAUGUUCAUCAGGGAUAUUGGUCUAAAAUUCUCUUUUUUUGUUGUGUCUCUGCCAGGCUUUGGUAUCAGGAUGAUGUUGGCCUCAUAAAAUGAAUUAGGGGAGGGGCGCCCAAGAUGGCCAAAUAGGAACAGCUCCAGCUUCCAGCUCCCAGCGUGAGCAACACAGAAGACAGGAGAUUUCUGCAUUUUCAACUGAGUCUCAAGAUGGCUGCCCUGGCCCAGGCAUUACAUCUGUGUUCCAGGCAUAGAAAAGGGAAGAAUGGCGAAAGAAAACUAGUGCAUGCCAGAUUGAAUGCAUGCUUAUAUUUGGAGUCCUGGAGCAGUUUGCAGUUCCAGAAAGUAAGAAAAUGCUUUCUUUCUCUCUCUCUCUCUCUCUCACACACACACACACACACACACACACACAAACACCGAUGGGGGGUACGUCAAAGGAAUGCAGGAGCCAACUUAAAGAGCUGCCAAUGGUUAAAGCUAGAACCAUAUGAGUAAUAAAAUAAAGAAGUAUUAGAUUGUAACACAAAGUAUAAAAUAAAUAUCCAUUAGUCCUUACUAAUAUAAAUAAA